rnacentral:lncRNA from 1 species
UGCAGGGAUGCACGGGGACACCGAGGGGACACCGAGGGGACACCGAGGGGAUGCCAAGGGGAUAUUGCACGGAUGCAUGGAGAUGCCAUGGGGACACCAUGGGGACACUGAGAGGACACCAUGGGGAUGCCAUGGGGAUAUUGCUGGGAUGCACGGGGACACCGAGGGGACACCGAGGCAAUAUUGCAGGGAUGCACGGGGAUGCCAUGGGGACACCAAGGGGAUGCUGUACGGACAUCGUAGGGUUGCAUGGGGACACCAUGGGGACACUGAGGGGAUGCCAUGGGGAUAUUGCAGGGAUGCACGAGGAUGCCAUGGGGACGCCAUGGGGACACUGAGGGGACAUCAAGGGGACACCAUGGGAAUAUGGCAGGGAUGCAUUGGGACACCGAGGGGACACUGAGGGGAUGCCAUAGGGAUAUUGCAGGGAUGCACAGGGACACCAUGGGGACACCAUGGGGACACCGAGGGGAUGCCAGGGGGAUAUUGCAGGGAUACAUUGGGACACCGAGGGGACACCAUGGGGACACUGAGGGGACAUCAAGGGGACACCAGGGGGAUAUUGCAGGGAUGCAUGGAGAUGCCAUGGGGAUAUUGCAGGGAUGCAUGGGGACACCAAGGGGAUACCAUGGGGGCACCGUGGGGAUGCUGUGGGGACAUCACAGGGUUGCACGGGGACACCACGGGGACACCRUGGGGAUGCUGUGUGGAUACGGCAGGGAUGCAAGGGGACACCAAGGGGAUGCCAUGGGGAUGCCGUGGGGACAUGCAGGGACGCUGUGGGGACGCGGGGGGGACGCGGGGGGGCUCACGGGGCGGCAGGGCGACGGGGCGGCUCCAGGGCCCGGCGCCGGCCCCCGUGUAGGGCCGCACGCGGACCGUGACGUUGCGGCUCCCCGGCGGCAGCUCCAGCGUCGCCUCCCGCACCAGCCCCACGUCCAGCACCACCUGCGCGGGGACACGGGGACGCGGGACGUGGCGGGGCGUGCAGGGGGGGCGAGCAAGGGGGCGAGCAAGGGGGCAACGGGGCAAGGAACAGAGCGAGCAUCGGGGCAUGCAAUGGGGUGAGCGAUGGGGCCACAGGGUAAGAAGUGGGGCAAGAAAUGGGGAGAGCAGUGGGGCAUCGGGGUG